rnacentral:lncRNA from 10 species
UUCAUAUGUGUAUAUAGAUAGAGAUACAGAAAUCUUAAUGUCCUUGGUCUUUGACAAAACCUGUAAAGAAUGACAAUAUAUUUCUUUGGAUAAUUUAUGACAGGUGGGAUUUAUGACAGUUGGAUUUUCCCAUUCUCAGUCUCUCACAUCAAAAUUCUAAUACUCGGACAUAAAGGUGUCUUAUGUUGCAAAGUUUUACUCUCCUCUCCAAGUGCGCAUGCACACACACACACACACACACACAUACACACAGCAACUUAACAUACUUAGUUUAAAAGAGAAAUAACUAUGGCUUUGUUAUGCUUGAAGUAAGCUUAUUACCUAUGUCUUCAUACCUAAACAUGGCUACAACUAAUGUUGGCAAGAUUGCUUGUAGUCAAUGGCAUGUAGAGGCUAAUAGCAAACUCUGGAGUCAAAUGAGUCUAGUUAUGAAUCCCAGCUUUCUAUUAGCUAGAGUUACUUAUCCUCUCUGCAUAUAUUUUCUCAUUUUUUUUCACGAGAACAUUGAGUUAUUUUAAGGCUUAAAUCACGUAAUGUAAGAAAAACGUUAAGCAGGUUGCCUAGCACAUAAUGAGGGCUCAGUAAAUGUUAGUGAUUAUUACUUUUAUUGAGAGUACAAAACAACCUUGCUAAUGUCGUUGUAGAUCCUUAAUAGCUAAAGAGAAAUACAGUUGAUCAGGUGGUUCUGAGGAUCAAAUGAAACAGAUACAUAUAAAAUAUUUCACUCAGGAUUUGGCACAUUUAUGAAUCCUUUUUCUCUACCUUGCCUUUAAUCUCCAGCUAAGGCAGAAUACAGAAUAGUGUUUUACUAUGUCCAAAUUUUGGAGAAAAAUAAACAUAUUAUUUUAAUUGCAAUCAUUUCACAGUUGGUAUCAUAACUGAUGUCACAAAAUAAUGGAAAAAAUAUUCCUAUUCUGAUUUUACAUAUUGCCUGGAUUCAACAAGGGAUCACUAAAUGAUUUUCAUGGGUCAUUUUAUAAUGCAAAGAGAAGCAUAAAAGUAUUUUAACUCUUUUUAAACCAAAGUUGAGUUGGCAUGAUUUUCAUUCUUGUUUAUUGCAGUUUCAAAUAUUUAUUCUAUAUCGCAGUAGCAGUUAUAUGUAAAUUCAUUUGUACUGCCAUUGGUGUCUUAUUUAAAUCAGCCGUUACUACUGUGGGCUUAGAAAUUCUGUCCUUUUGAGCUUAAUUCUUUAUCCUGCAAACACUUCGGAUUUCAAAACCUGGCAAAUUCCCUGAGGAGAAAAUUGUUCCUUGUGCUUGUGGCAGGACUCCUUUUGGUAGCACUUCGUCUUCUACUUGUUGAGACUGCAAUAUAUUCCCUUCUGAUUUCCUGUCCAGCCCACAGUCUCCUGAAGCUCCAUAAAUGUCAGUGCUGCCUUGUAGUAAAAACCAGCUGUGUGUGGAGAAUCUUGUCGCUUUCAACCUGCAACACAAGCUCCGUCUGGCCCCACAAACUCUGGUGGUUUCUUUUUCCCCAGUUAAGUGCCUCUGCAUCAACCAUACCUGAUCUUCAGCCCAUGCUCAGACGCAGCCAAAUACUAAACGGAGGGAAUAGCCUGUAAUCAUGGAUCAACUAAGAAGGACUCUUUACAGAAAUUAUUUCUAGUCUCAAUCACUUCUAGUUUCCUGCUGUCUGUAACAAUAUUGUUUUUGGUUUAUUUUCUCUUCCUAGUUUUUGAAGGAAGAGUAGUAACCUACCCUGUACUACUACAUUCUACCCUGAAUUAGAAGUAUUUUAUCAAUUUCAAAAAAUGUUUGUAACAUUAUAUAUUAAAAUUAAAUGAUUAUUUACUUUUAUAAUUGUUUUUCUGAGGAAAAAAUCUACCAUAUUAAUGUUUCAUAAGUUUAAAUCAAGGUUCCAAGAGGAGUCAAGAUUUGUGAUUUUGAUCUUAUUUAGAAUAUUUUAUUUUUUCCUUUUGAAAUAAAUUAGUUGAUAAUGUACUAGAAACAUGAUAACCUGAGUUUCUUCAAAUGAAAGCUAAAUGCUAUAGAAAACAAUCAUGCUUAAAAAUAUAAUUAUUUUAAAUAAGAUCUAAAUAGACUCUUUUUAACUUUAUUAUUAUAGUUAAAAAACUAAAAGUCCUUUCAGCUUGUGGACUUUUAAUAUGUGGGCAGAAUAGUGUUUUACUAUAUUCAAGUUAUUUUUAAUAUGUGGACUUGACAUUAAAGGUAUGACAAAACACCUUUAAAGAACAAUUAAUUAUGACGAUUUAAUAAAAGUGGUCAGCAUUGAAAAAAUACUGCUAUAUUCUACAUUUUAUAGUUCAGAUCUGGGAAAGUGUAAAUCUUAUUAACCCUCUAAAUACACAUUUAUUAUUCCUUUAUUCUAUUCAUGUUCGAAUUUCAAGAACAGAGUAAUCUCUGUUCAUUUAUUUUGUAUACAACAACAUAGUGUUAAACUCCACUUGCAAUCCUUCAACUAUAUUUUCUUCAUUGUCAUCCCUACAGGAAGAAUGAAACACACAAUAGUAUCUUAGACUUAAAGGGUUAUAUAUUUUCAGGCCUGUUUCUUCCACUUCUAUCUUUGCAUAUGAAAUAUAAGUUAAGUUUUAUAGAUUUAUACAAACUCCUUAUCCCUUGUGGAAUAAGUUAAAUUCUGUUCAUGCAUUCUAAUGUUCUACCUUAUUUUCACUUUGAUUCAAAAAAAAUAUAAAUAUGAUUUACAAGUGGAAAAAAUUGUGCUUAAUGAAAGCUUCAAAAUUUAGACUCUUUCUGGCACAAGAUAGUAUUCUAUGCUAUUGGAAGAAAAUAAACUGGAUACAAUAUCAAAGAAUCAGAAAGAUUAGUAAAAUCUCUCUAACAGUAAUAAAAGCAUGAAUAGUAAGAACCUUAAGAUUUUCAAGCUAAAAUUGGAUCCUUAGUAUUUUCUGCUAGAUGGCUGCUUCUAGCAAAGGUGGAUUCCCCCAAGAAUGUCAUUGUGUAACAUUUUUGUAAUAAAAUUAAAUUUUAAAGUAUUUUUAAAAAUAGAAAACUAACUUGUCUUUCUGUAGUAAU